UAGCCACUACCAUAAUAAGCCCUACUC
rnacentral:piRNA from 1 species